rnacentral:rRNA from 1 species
UACGUAGGUGGCAAGCGUUGUCCGGAUUUAUUGGGUUUAAAGGGUGCGUAGGCGGCCCUGUAAGUCAGUGGUGAAAUGCUCCAGCUUAAACUGGGAGAGGUGCCAAUGAUACUGCAGGGCUUGAGUACAGAUGAGGUAGGCGGAAUUGACGGUGUAGCGGUGAAAUGCAUAGAUAUCGUCAAGAACACCUAUAGCGAAGGCAGCUUCUGGGCUGUAACUGACGCUGAGGCACGAAAGUGUGGGGAGUCGAAACAGGG